GAGAACACGCUCAAGUCCCUCACACGGCCUGCACACGCUCGUGUCAUUGCCUAUGUCCAAAAACCUGGACAUUCUGUUUAUGACAUCAUCACUUAUUGAGGGGCACACGACCAUGACACAUGCUCGUGUGCUAGGUCGUGUCGUCCACACGGUUGAGACACACGAUCGUGUCUCUGCCCAUGCAUUUAUUACCAUGCAUACUGACUUAGG
rnacentral:lncRNA from 1 species